UGGUUUGCAGAUGCUUCAAAUUUUAGCUAUAGAAUCAGCAGUCGAUCUCAAUUCCAGAAUACUCUCGAUUCAGAACUAUUUCAGACUGCAAGGAUAUCACCUUCGUCACUUAGAUACUAUGGACUUGGUCAUGAGAAUGGUAACUACAGAAUAAAACUUCAAUUUGCUGAGAUUUUUUUCCCUGGAUUCACCUACUUGGAAAAGUGUGGGACGAAGAGUUUUUAAUAUUUACAUUCAGGUGAGAAUAGCUGAAUUUUAGUAUCCAACUUAUCUGUCAUUAUAUUUGUUGAUGAGUCCUUGGCUGCGGCGGUGCAUGAUGGAAAGCUGACAUUAGCGAUAGCUACUCCCCAUUGUGCACAUUCUUAAAAAAAUGAGUAUACGGUGAUACAUGAUACCAAGGGAGAACUUGAAGAGGACUUCGACAUAACAAAGGAGGCUGGUGGGGUCUCAAAUACAGCAGUUAUAAAGGAGUUCAUAGCACCAGUAAUUAAUAUUUUCCUGGAAAUACAUUUCUUUUGGGCUGGAAGGGGCACCUGUUGUAUACCUACUCAAGGCUACUAUGGGGUGUCUGUUUCAGCGAUCAGUGUAUCCCUUUAUGAUUUCACUCCAAAUGUAAGUAAUCCAGCAGCAAUUACUUCAUAGAAGAACAAUACUGAACUGAUUGCCAGUCUUGCAGCCACAGUUGUACUUUUAAGUCUAUUGGCAAUUAUUGGAGUCUCUACUGGGGACUUUAAUUUUGAUUAUAAACUUGGUGAGGGAGGCUUUGGAUCUGUGUUUAAGGGAAAGCUUAAUGAUGGGAGAGUAGUGGCAGUGAAGCAAUUAUCAGAAGCAUCUCGCCAUAUAAAACGCCAGUUUAUAACAGAUUGCAACUAUAUCAGGAAUUCAACACAGAAACCUUGUGAACCUCAAUGGCUGCUGCAUUGAGGGAAACAGGAGCCUCUUGGUUUACAAGUAUCUAGAGAAUGGGAGCCUUGAUCAGGCAAUCUUUGAGAAGAAGAUAUUUCUUGAUUGGCCUGUUUGGUUUUAAAUCUGUUUGGGAGCUGCAACAGGUUUAGCAUAUCUACAUGAGGAAUCAAGAAUGCGCAUUGCGCACAGAGAUGUCAAGGCAAAAGCAAUAUUCUGCUUGAUGCUGAUCUCUACCCAAAGAUAUCAGAUUUUGGUUUGGUCCAACUUUUAUGACGGCAAAGACUCACAUCAGUACAAAAGUUGCUGGUACAAUGUAAGGGCUAUUAGUAGUUUUAUUAUUUCCAUUUAUUCACUAAAAACAAAAUAUUAAAUUUCUUUAUAAUUUUUAGGCUGGGGUGUUGUGAAAGGCAUCUCUUUCCUGUUAUUUAGGCGUUUAAAAUUCGCAAUAUUUAAUUUUUUUUUCCCGUGUGCUUUCUGUUCUUGAGGGUAAAGUUUUAUUGUUACAAUAGAGUUGGAAAAUAAGGACUUGUGCCCUUGAACUAUUGAUUUAUUAUUUUAUAUGAGUGGCUUAUUUACA